AGUGAACGCUGGCGGUAGGCCUAACACAUGCAAGUCGAACGGCAGCACGGUAAGAGCUUGCUCUUACGGGUGGCGAGUGGCGGACGGGUUAGGAAUACAUCGGAAUCUACUUUUUCGUGGGGGAUAACGUAGGGAAACUUACGCUAAUACCGCAUACCACCUACGGGUGAAAGCAGGGGAUCUUCGGACCUUGCGCGAUUGAAUGAGCCGAUGUCGGAUUAGCUAGUUGGCGGGGUAAAGGCCCACCAAGGCGACGAUCCGUAGCUGGUCUGAGAGGAUGAUCAGCCACACUGGAACUGAGACACGGUCCAGACUCCUACGGGCGGCAGCAGUGGGGAAUAUUGGACAAUGGGCGCAAGCCUGAUCCAGCCAUACCGCGUGGGUGAAGAAGGCCUUCGGGCUGUAAAGCCCUUUUGUUGGGAAAGAAAAGCAGCAGGUUAAUACCCCGCUGUUCUGACGGUACCCAAAGAAUAAGCACCGGCUAACUUCGUG
rnacentral:rRNA from 1 species